rnacentral:lncRNA from 1 species
AGGGGGUCGAAGGAUGAGGUGUCGAUAUCCAACUCCGACAAACUAAGCUGACGCAAAAUAGUUCACGUGGUUUGUCUCUUAAGGCCGCGUCGGAAAACAGCUGCUGAGAACGCUCGGUGCUGAAUCUCACACACUGAUCGGCAACUUUAGAUGCUUUUUCUGCUGUUCUGGCAGUAUCAAGCCUCUUCACUUAAAGCCACUUCGAGGAAGAGACCAAAAGGUAUAAAUGUAGUCUUUAGUUUCUUAGUGGAAACCAUGGGAGGGCAUCUCUGCACUCAAAGGGCCCCUUUCGCGGGCGCACGUCGAUGCUCAUGAUCAUCCGUUGUGGGUGGUCGGUACCCAGUAAAACGCAGCAUCUUCUGAUCAGGAGAGACAAGAACGACCGCAUUUCCUUCGCGUCGUCAACCCCGGUAUUCUGGUGCUUCUGAUGACAGGCAUUUCAGGGCAUUGAACCAUGCCUACUAAACUUAGAGGAGCGUUUCAAGUCUCCCUCUGCCUGUCCCUGUCAAAGUACUGUAGAAUUCGCUACGCUAUUACCGCGGUCUUGGUCGUGAAAUCGUGAACAGCACAGCGGCUCAUUGUCCACAAGCGUAAUGGUGAGCGCAAGCUUCAAACCUGCGGCGGCUACGCGACCACGUGUUCGAACUUUCGGAAGAUGUACAUAUCACCUGGCCUUUCCAGUAUCGCCGGUUCUCCGUCAUCUACCAGACAGCCAGAAGGCAUAUUCACUUGGGAGCCUUCGCCGAGUUAGCCCAGAAAACCCGUAGGCGUCGGGUAUCGGGUUCAUCCCAGUGUCGAGCAAAGGCGUAGGGUUUUUGUUUUCCGAAAUGCAUUCUCGUCUUCUCAAAUGGUCCAUUGAUAUCUUGACUUGGUGGCUGCAGAGGUUCGGGGUUGUGCUUUCCCAGCCCAAAGAUGGACUUGUGUAUACCAGACCCAAAAAUUUGGCUUUCUGGCAUGCUGUCAGGUAGCUAGUGAAACAUGCUGAUACAUGGGGGAGUCCGACGUGCCAGAAAACGACCAAGAACCGGUUUUCACCAUGCGGGUAUACGGAUUUUUCUCACGGGUAGCAUGAGCUGGAGUCAGGGAGUGAGCCCGUGACACACACAUUAUUG